rnacentral:ncRNA from 2 species
ACGUUAUCACGAAAGGUAGAGGGAUUAGACCCGAUGAAGCCUUGGCAACCUCUCAUUUUUAUGAGAAAGGUGCUACAUUCUACAAGUUUUUUCUAAACUUGACAGAUAACAG